rnacentral:rRNA from 1 species
UCGAGAAUCAUUCGCAAUGGGCGAAAGCCUGACGAUGCGACGCCGUGUGAUUGAAGAAGGCCUUCGGGUCGUAAAGAUCUUUCGCUUGGGAGCAAGAGAAGCAGGCUAAUAUCCUGUUAAUUUGAGGGUACCAGGUAAAGAAGCACCGGCUAACUCCGUGCCAGCAGCUGCGGUAAUACGGAGGGUGCAAGCAUUAAUCGGAUUUAUUGGGCGUAAAGGGCGCGUAGGCGGGGAUGUAAGUCAGAUGUGAAAUCCCGGGGCUCAACCUCGGAACUGCAUUUGAAACUAUAUUUCUAGAGGGUAGAAGGAGAAAACGGAAUUCCACAAGUAGCGGUGAAAUGCGUAGAUAUGUGGAAGAACACCGGUGGCGAAGGCGGUUUUCUAUUUUAUUCCUGACGCUGAUGCGCGAAAGCAAGGGGAUCAAACAGGAUUAGAUACCCCCGUAGUCC